ensembl:lncRNA
CUGCUUUGUUCCACCCCUGCCAUGUGCUGCCAAAAAGGCUUGGUGUUCCUGAGACCACAGCAGGCAUGUGACUUGGAAGGGCAUUGAAGUCUGCUACUUGAGGAAAAUGGGUAAAAUGCCUGGUCUUCAAGAACCUCAUAGUUCAGUGGGAAAAACAGAAACGAAAAGAAAUCAUCUCUGGACAAUGGUGUGCAAGCUGUGACCUGCUGCCUACUGUGUAGUGACUUCACGGGAGACAGGGCGCAUGGGUUUGAUCCCUGGUAGAGGAACAUGCCCUGUGGUGCAGCCAAAAAAAAAAAGAAGAAGAAGUAAAAGAAUCAGCAGUCUAUGUGCGUGUGUGUGAAGAAGACAUGCCCCUUUUCUACUGAGUCUUAAGAGGAAAAGAAAUGUUCCUGGGGAGUUGGAAUCUUGAGGCUCCCCCAUCACCUCAGAACCAACAGGCCUCCAGGAUUUGGAGUUUAAUAGCAGCCCACAGAGAUACCAUGAGGAAUGAGGUGGAAAUCAGGAAGCAGUUGGAGUGGCUGAUAAAAGGAGGAAAAAUAGAGCAAGCAUGCUCUUAACAGUUGCAAAGCCCAGGGCAAAAGUAGAUGGAAGCCCACACACCGUAUGGC